UGUCGGGUGACAGGCUGUAAGUGCGAGUCAGCAUCUGCUGGGUGGAUGACACCCCUCCCUUCUGACCCCAGAGCAGGGACGCGCUCACCCAACUGCGGAGCAUCUGGAAGGUUAUUAGAAGCAGCAGUGGAGCAGUGGCCUUAGGAAACACCCAGAACAGCCCCGUGUGUGUGUAUGUGUGUGUGUGUGUGUGUGCAUAUGUGUGUGUGUAUGCACGUGCACUUGUGCACAGAAGCUAUAACAUUGUAAGUCUGGGAGACUGCAUAUGCUCAGAGCCUUCUGUCCAUGGCCUCUGGAAGCCUGGCUAAGUGAGGCAGAUGUGAAACAAACCAGGGUUUAUUUUCUCCUAGCAGUUUGGAGUAGAGGACAGUGCCUGAAGCAAGGAUCUCAGACUCUGGGU
rnacentral:lncRNA from 1 species